rnacentral:rRNA from 1 species
GACGAACGCUGGCGGCGUGCUUAACACAUGCAAGUCGAACGAUGAAACCUAGCUUGCUAGGUCGAUUAGUGGCGAACGGGUGAGUAACACGUGACUAACCUGCCCCUUUCUCUGGGAUAACGCUCCGAAAGGAGUGCUAAUACCGGAUACUCACAUCGAGGCACAUGCCUUGGUGUGGAAAGUUUUUCGGAAAGGGAUGGAGUCGCGGCCUAUCGGCUUGUUGGUGAGGUAACGGCUCACCAAGGCGACGACGGGUAGCCGGCCUGAGAGGGGGACCGGCCACACUGGGACUGAGACACGGCCCAGACUCCUACGGGAGGCAGCAGUGGGGAAUAUUGCACAAUGGGCGCAAGCCUGAUGCAGCGACGCCGCGUGAGGGAUGAAGGUCUUCGGAUUGUAAACCUCUUUCAGUAGGGACGAAGCGAAAGUGACGGUACCUAAAGAAGAAGCACCGGCUAACUACGUGCCAGCAGCCGCCGUAA